rnacentral:rRNA from 1 species
UACGUAGGGGGCAAGCGUUUGUCCGGAAUUAUUGGGCGUAAAGAGCUCGUAGGCGGUUUGUCGCGUCUGCCGUGAAAGUCCGGGGCUCAACUCCGGAUCUGCGGUGGGUACGGGCAGACUAGAGUGAUGUAGGGGAGACUGGAAUUCCUGGUGUAGCGGUGAAAUGCGCAGAUAUCAGGAGGAACACCGAUGGCGAAGGCAGGUCUCUGGGCAUUAACUGACGCUGAGGAGCGAAAGCAUGGGGAGCGAACAGG